rnacentral:ncRNA from 1 species
UCCCUCGCGAGGUGCCGCGGGUCAGCGGCUGACGCCAGCCACCCUUUUCCGACCCCGUCUUGAAACACGGACCAAGGGAGUCUAACAUGUGCGCGAGCCGCGGGGCAGUACGAAACCCGUAAGGCGAAAUGAAGGUGAACGCCGGCGCGGUCCGGCGGAGGUUGGAUCCCGUCCCGUCGGGGCGGGCGCACUACCGGCCGAUCUUCUCCGCCCUGUCGGCGAGGUCGAGCGAGAGCGUGCAAGUCGGGACCCGAAAGAUGGUGAACUAUGCCUGAGGAGGUUGAAGCCAGAGGAAACUCUGGUGGAGGACCGUAGCGAUUCUGACGUGCAAAUCGAUCGUCAAAUUUGGGUAUAGGGGCGAAAGACUAAUCGAACCGUCUAGUAGCUGGUUCCCUUCGAAGUUCCCCUCAGGAUAGCUGGCGCUCUGUCGCAGUUUUAUCUGGUAAAGCGAAUGAUUAGAGGUCUUGGGGGCGAAACGCCCUCAACCUAUUCUCAAACUUUAAAUUGGUAAGAAGCCCGACUCGCUCGUUUGGAGCCGGGCAUGGAAUGCGAGUGCCAAGUGGGCCACUCUUGGUAAGCAGGACUGGCGAUGCGGGAUGAACCGAACGCCGGGUUAAGGCGCCCGACGCGACGCUCAUCAGAGCCCACAAAAGGUGUUGGUUGAUAUAGACAGCAGGACGGUGGCCAUGGAAGUCGGAAACCGCUAAGGAGUGUGUAACAACUCACCUGCCGAAUCAAUCAGCCCUGAAAAUGGAUGGCGCUGGAGCGUCGGGCCUAUACCCGGCCGUCGCGGCGGUAGG